ensembl:lncRNA
GUCCAACAAGAUGACAUUUAUUGAAAAGUAACAAACUAUAGAACAAGUAGUAACAGACUGUUUCAGUAAUAGCUUAAUAUAUCAGUAUAUCUAGAGUAUACUGCCAUACAUCGGAGACUUGCACAGAGAGCAAAUUAACAUAUUUUUGACGAUUUGCUACAAAAAGGCUUCGAUUACUCACACUACCCGACCGGGUUAAGACAAAAGAUACAAAAUUAAGACAAUUAAGAGAGUUGUGCAAAUUUAAAACCUUCUACAAAUGAAUUACGAGGCAAAUGUACAAAACUAUACACACCAAAGACUUCUGUAGACACGGAAAGAAAAAAUCACUAUUGCAGCUACAAGGCUAUCACACUAAGUUUUGUUAUUUAAAUCCAUAACAACACUAAAGUUAGAUAUUCAGGUUUUGGCAACAUUUCUGUUUCAGAUAUGACCGACGCUUUUAAGCACAAUCAGACAUUUUCCACUUGGCAAAACGACAUAAAGAAGAGUUUGUAUCACAAAAAAAAAAGUACAUUCACUAGAAUGAAAUCUGUUUUCAGACGAGCGAUAACAAAAGAUGUAACCCUUCCUUCAGCAAGUACACAUGACCCUGAGACAGAUAAGAACAGACAGAAAUCAUCAUCUGAAAGCCGACACAGACGAGUGUCUCCUUCAAGUCGUGAUGGGCCACGUUCCCUCUUUUUUCUUCCUUUUUUUGCGAGCUUGUAUUUUCAGUUAGGAAGAGGAUACAAAUUUAGCUCAGCAAGAUUGAGGGAAGCCCAAGUCCAACUUCUAAAAACACAGACAGGAAGAUCGUUUCUGUUCACAAAAUCAUACACUUCCCCAAACGUCUCCUCUCCCUCUGCACAUGCCGGCCGCAGCAAAGGUCUAAUUCAGUCUGAAUAAAUUACACCUGAGUAAACAGUGUCAGGAGUGGGCGGGGACAAAGAGGGACAUCUCAACUUCCUUCUUCGCGGUGAAACAAGCUAAAGUGUCAGUUAGAGCGGUGAUGCACUGGUGAGAGGAUGCACGUCUCCGGACGAGCAGUGCAGGGCUGACAGAGCGACAGCAGCUACAGAGAGAGAGACGUGCUCACAAGGCCCUGCUGGACACGCACCAGCGAGUCCACUUCAGACGCGGGGACAACACGGCAAAGUUACACAAGAAGCACGAGUAAACACAUCGGGUAAAAAAACAAAAGUCUCUGUGCUGUUUCCAGGCCUUCGCUCAUGUGCAGUUGGAGAUAAUGUGAAUCAGUCUGGAUGGAGAAACGACGGGAACACGCAAAACCCCCUCCUCUUCCUCUUCCUCCUCCUCGGAGCCGCCGAGGGGGGGCACAUUCCUGCAUACCAGACUCUGAGGCUCAUCUGAGGGAAAAAGACAGAGAGGGAUUAAUGUGCUGGUCCCGUGAACUCUGCUGUACAAGGACCCUGUAUGAGAACGCCGGGCACAUGACCAGAGGGCCUGGACGUUCUCAGGGAGAGGAAGGCAGAGACCUCCAGGCUACACAGCAGCUUAUCACUGUGCUGUUUUAUCAGGCUUUGGCCACAGAGCAUUAAUAACACCUCUGAACGCAGCAACAUUUAACCAUUUAUGUGGCUUAGUGAUGAAUAUCUGAGGGUGCAGAAGUUGGGACCUGUGAGUGAAAAUAAGCUUCAGUGAACUCAGAUAAAAAGCACAUAUUCCAAAAACCAUCUGCUUUAUCCUGAUAGGAGGCUUUAUGCUGCAAUUCCUGCAUCUGCAAGCUGCAUUUUUUAAAAAUACAAACACUGUAAUGAAUUCUUUGGAAUCUCAUAUUCCUCUGCAACCUCACUGUCUAAUUUUCCUCUCGUGGCGGUAUG